UCCACGCGCUGCGGGCGCGCGCCCACGGCAGUUGGUCUCUGAGGCGGCGGCGGUAACAGUUUCUCUCGGGAGGUCCUGCUCGGUCCGGGCGCCAUGCCUCUGGAUCGUCAGGUGGCCAUGGGGAACCUUGGCAAUCAGGACAUCCUGGCCAUCUUCUACCGCCUGCGCUUCGUGCUUAGCAACCACAUAGAGGCCGCCUGGCGAGCCCGGAACCCGGCAAUGGACGUGGGAGGAGGAGGAGAAGGCGCCCGGUUGGUCAACGGUCGUAUUCGCCCACGCGGGUUCUGAGUGACUUGGAGGACUGCUCGCCCUCGCCCCAGAAUGCCUGGCAUAGGAUAUGACUGUCAAUAUUUAGCUCUACAAGAAGACAUGACAUUUACACACAAAAGGAAGACAUGAUUCAUUGGUUUUAAGUAAACACAACAUAAUGCAUCCUAAAAGUGCCUGGACUCUAGGGCUACCUGAUGGAGGACCCACCAUGACCCAUUAAUUCCCUAGUAAUUAACACAUGGAAUGGGGUACCAGUGAUGAAAAAUGACCACAAUUAACUCCCUUUCAAGACUCCUUCCCAGAUAUCUGAUCAGGACCAAGACUGGGAUCUCUGGGUCCGUAACAGUGAAACAUCCUCUCAUUCUCUUGGUUCUGCUUCUGUUGAGAGGCCCUGCUUAAAUCACUUUCUUCAGCUCGUUGAAAGCAGCAGGACAAAAAAGCACUGCUACUACCACAAAGGAAGCUGGGCCACUUACCUUUGAAGAUGGCUUGCACACCUCAUCUUUAAGUCUUUCCCUAAGAAUGGAUGGUGUGUUUUGACUGCAGUGCCAAAAGUCAGAGCUGGGCAAAUAUAACCUACAGGAUAUUUCUUUUCAUCAGUUGCUUGGAGUCACAUGGUGGUCACUAAAGUUUUACCUGUACGUCAAUGACCCCAUGAAGUUAAGAGACAGUUACUUUCAUAGCUGGGAUGACAGUGCCAACUGCUACUAGAAGGAGGAUGAGACACUUAGACCUCUGUAACAAAGUACAAGCUCUUCAGGCAAAUGUAAGCUACAGGACCAGGAAGCCAGAACUACAGACUGACGUGCCUUCUGCACCCUCCUUUCCAGCAUUCAGUUCACACACAGAGUGGCUGGCAGGUGAUGUGUGCAGUGUGCAGAAAGGUUUCAAAUGUGGGAGCAAGAGUUUUCAGAGCCUACGUUCUCCAUGUUCAGGUCCAGUCCCUGUGCUUCUCCAUGGCACAUCAUUCUCCCUGUGUCUACUCUGCCUCUCACUGGAUAGAUGUAGGUGAGAGAUGUGCACCCCAGUACUCGCUGUUUUGGAUCCCAAACAUACAUCUACAUUGAUGGCAUAGCUAUGAGUGUAGCUGCCUUCCUCAUUCACCACAUGCCUGUGUUCAUUUUGUCAGUGGUGAGCGCUGUGCUGUGCAACCUUCUAACCUAGAUCUGGCCCCAGCAUCCUGAAGCAUAUGAGGCACCUCAGAGAAAAGGUCUAAAUGGGCCUUAUAAGAAAAUGAGAAUACUUUCUGUUGCAUUGGGUUUUGAGUCUUAAGUUACAGGCACAAAGCUGCAUGAAUUAAACAUUCCUAAAGUCUGUCUACUCAGCCUCUUACACUAGUCUGUCCACAGGAAAGGCAUUGAAAUAAAAGGAAAGAUGAAGAGCAAUACAGUCCAGCUUAAGUCUCUGAUGUGAUGUGUUAAAUCCCUAGGAUGUGGUGAAAGUGAAUGCUGACAGAUAUGCUUAGGCUCAGAGACCACAACCACCCAGACUUGAGUACUUUGUCCUCCUCACCAUUGCUUUCCUGCUUCUAGACAGUUUUGUUUGGUGACAAGAGUUUCUUGGGAGUAAGGGGCAGCUGAAUUCUAGUGGGAACACCAAUUAUAGGACUUUCCAUGUAAGUCUCUAACAGUUGAUGGGUCUUUAGGAUGCAUGUGAGAAGCACAGCUGUGGCAAGUACUAUGCCAGUGUUCAGCCUGUGAUUAACCUUCAGAGUGUCCAUUAGCAUGGAGCCACUUCAGUGUUCAAUCUGCAGCCUCUCCGGUGGAGGUACAUUAGACCUGCUCUUCCUUGGUCUCUCAAGCUGGCCGGCUUUUCCUGUUUGUACACUGUACAGAGCACUGUUCUGCUUCUACCUACAAGUAGAGUGAGUGUGACUGGCCACGCUGCUGAAAGAGGCCUUCAUGCAGAAGACUUCCAUUUUCAGAUUUUUGUUCUGAGGACUCUGUGCUUUCUGAAAGCUCUGAGCUAUUUGAUUUCCUCAAAACCUCCCAUAGCUGGGUUAAAUGCUUUUAUUGCUGCCUCCUGUGUUGAAUGUGUGUACUGUCAAGAUUUGGAAGCAGAUAUAAAAUGUGAGUACACUAUCACUACAAGUAGUCAUCAGAAAAAGACCUCCUUUGGUCAUUCUUCACAGCUCAUUUCUUCCUGGUUUAUACUAUAAUGUUGCUUUUGAAUAUUUUCCUUGCUACUUAGCAAAAAGCUAAGGACCUCACUUGCUGAGUAACUGUUCAUCUGCCAGACCUUCCUUGAGUGGCUUGUCUGCCUCUUGUUGCUUUACGGGCUAGUUGCUCCCAUGCUCACCCUGUGUUGCCAGACAGCACGCUUUCCUGCUUUUUGUUACCAACAGAGACAAGUCAACAGACUGGAGAUUCUCUGUGUACAACUCCAGGCCAAGUACUGACAGAGACUACCUGGUAGGUUAGAGAGUGAAGCAGACUUAACAAAACACAGCUCUGAAGGUACCUGAUGCUUCAUGUUGACUUAGGGGACAGGGAAGUGCUUCCCAUAGUUGGUGGCAUUGAACUAAAGCCUUUUGUUUGCAUGUUGUCAUAUACAAGAACAUCGCUCCUUUCCAGUUAGCCCACUUACUGAGUGCCCGUCUUUUGCCAGGCAGCAUGCUUAUGUCUCAACUUUUGAGUAUUGCCAGUUCCCUAGAAGUAGGAAUAACUGUCCCCAUUUCACAGAUGAGGAAACUGAAGCUUAGGGUAGUCACAGCAUCUGAAGAAGUCCUACAUCUCAGUAGCUGGGCUGAGCUUUUUGUAUAAUCCCUGGUAGGGACAGUCUGAAUGUCAAAAGCUGAUUCUUAACCUGCUUUGUCAAGAGUAUGUUGAGUAUUGACUGCCAUUUUCCCCCCUCACAUUUAGGAUGCAAAUCAAAAUACCCAGAGUCUCAUCCUUUGAGCUGUGGACUUUAUAGGGCACAGGCAUCAACACUGAAGGUCCCCUGGGAAAGAAAGGGGCUCUGUUCUC